rnacentral:rRNA from 1 species
UACGGAGGGGGCCAGCGUUGUUCGGAAUUAUUGGGCGUAAAGGGCGCGUAGGCGGUUGUGUAAGUCGGUUGUGAAAUCCCCUGGCUCACCCAGGGAACUGCUUCCGAUACUGCAUGACUUGAGUCCGGGAGAGGAGAGUGGAAUUCCCAGUGUAGCGGUGGAAUGCGUAGAUAUUGGGAGGAACACCGGUGGCGAAGGCGGCUCUCUGGACCGGUACUGACGCUGAGGCGCGAAAGCCAGGGGAGCAAACAGG